CUCCGCGAAUACUUCCUUUGACCGGCUUUCCAUAUUUGCAGCUGAUACUGGCUGUCUUAUCUCGCCUGCCACCUCUGGCAGGGAGCCAGCCGGGACUAUUUUCACCCAGACAGUCAACGGCCUUUAUCAAUAAAAAGGCACAUCUGCCUUUUUGAGAGGCGCUAUCUCUCUUAAGAGACCUUCCCCGCUGGUCUUUCGUUCCUUAGGACGGCGUGCCCAGGCUCUGCUCAUCCAAAGGCAUCUGGCUCAUCAAACAGAGGAGAAGCCACAAGUCCCUUUGGGUUCAAAUACUCAGUAUGUGAUGUUUUAGUUUCUUAAUAAAUCCUGAUUUGUUUUCUGAACUCAA